CAUGUAGGCGGAGUAAUCAGUCAGUGGUGAAAUUUCUCAACUUAAAUGAGAACGUGCCAUUGAAACUGUUACUCUUGAGUGCGGAAGAGGGAAGUGGAAUUCCUGGUGUAGCGGUGAAAUGCGUAGAUAUCAGGAAGAACACCAGUAGCGAAGGCGGCUUCCUGGUCCGCAACUGACGCUGAGAUGCGAAAGCGUGGGGAGCAAACA
rnacentral:rRNA from 1 species